AAAGCCCUCAUGAACCAUGUCUAUCUAGUUCUACUGUGUUUCUCUGUGUAGUACUUACCCUCCUCUAAAAGCCCUCAUGAACCAUGUCUAUCUAGUUCUACUGUGUUUCUCUGUGUAGUACUUACCCUCUAAAAGCCCUCAUGAACCAUGUCUAUCUAGUUCUACUGUGUUUCUCUGUGUAGUACUUACCCUCCUCUAAAAGCCCUCAUGAACCAUGUCUAUCUAGGUCUACUGUGUUUCUCUGUAUAGUACUUACCCUCCUCUAAAAGCCCUCAUGAACCAUGUCUAUCUAGGUCUACUGUGUUUCUCUGUGUAGUACUUACCCUCCUCUAAAAGCCCUCAUGAACCAUGUCUAUCUAGUUCUACUGUGUUUCUCUGUAUAGUACUUACCCUCCUCUAAAAGCCCUCAUGAACCAUGUCUAUCUAGUUCUACUGUGUUUCUCUGUGUAGUACUUACCCUCCUCUAAAAGCCCUCAUGAACCAUGUCUAUCUAGUUCUACUGUGUUUCUCUGUGUAGUACUUACCCUCCUCUAAAAGCCCUCAUGAACCAUGUCUAUCUAGUUCUACUGUGUUUCUCUGUGUAGUACUUACCCUCCUCUAAAAGCCCUCAUGAACCAUGUCUAUCUAGUUCUACUGUGUUUCUCUGUGUAGUACUUACCCUCCUCUAAAAGCCCUCAUGAACCAUGUCUAUCUAGGUCUACUGUGUUUCUCUGUAUAGUACUUACCCUCCUCUAAAAGCCCUCAUGAACCAUGUCUAUCUAGGUCUACUGUGUUUCUCUGUGUAGUACUUACCCUCCUCUAAAAGCCCUCAUGAACCAUGUCUAUCUAGUUCUACUGUGUUUCUCUGUAUAGUACUUACCCUCCUCUAAAAGCCCUCAUGAACCAUGUCUAUCUAGGUCUACUGUGUUUCUCUGUGUAGUACUUACCCUCCUCUAAAAGCCCUCAUGAACCAUGUCUAUCUAGGUCUACUGUGUUUCUCUGUGUAGUACUUACCCUCCUCUAAAAGCCCUCAUGAACCAUGUCUAUCUAGUUCUACUGUGUUUCUCUGUAUAGUACUUACCCUCCUCUAAAAGCCCUCAUGAACCAUGUCUAUCUAGGUCUACUGUGUUUCUCUGUGUAGUACUUACCCUCCUCUAAAAGCCCUCAUGAACCAUGUCUAUCUAGGUCUACUGUGUUUCUCUGUGUAGUACUUACCCUCCUCUAAAAGCCCUCAUGAACCAUGUCUAUCUAGGUCUACUGUGUUUCUCUGUGUAGUACUUACCCUCCUCUAAAAGCCCUCAUGAACCAUGUCUAUCUAGGUCUACUGUGUUUCUCUGUGUAGUACUUACCCUCCUCUAAAAGCCCUCAUGAACCAUGUCUAUCUAGGUCUACUGUGUUUCUCUGUGUAGUACUUACCCUCCUCUAAAAGCCCUCAUGAACCAUGUCUAUCUAGGUCUACUGUGUUUCUCUGUAUAGUACUUACCCUCUAAAAGCCCUCAUGAACCAUGUCUAUCUAGGUCUACUGUGUUUCUCUGUAUAGUACUUACCCUCCUCUAAAAGCCCUCAUGAACCAUGUCUAUCUAGUUCUACUGUGUUUCUCUGUGUAGUACUUACCCUCCUCUAA